UGCAUCAAGAGUGAGUCAUAGACAGAUGUGGCGGAGAGAAUCCGGUCAUUUUCCAAAAUAAAACAUCGUUCAGAAUCAGAUGAUAAAUAUUUCACUAUCCCAAUUAACUACUUAUUCCAAAGAUUCCAAAAUAAUUUGGGACAUUGAGAAAAGUGUAAAAUACAAUAGGGACAAUAUCAUCACCAACAUUAAGCAAAUUUGAACUUAUUAUAUCUUAAACAGUUGAUAUUUCGAAGAUAAGACCUACCCCCUGCCAGAAAACUAGAUAAAAGGCACUGAAUGACUGAAGGUUCUGUGCACAGAUGAGUCAAAUUUGACAUGUUUUGGCUCUAACAGAAGAACCUAUGUAGAUUGGAGAACAAGAGAGAAGAUGUUAGCAGACCUCCUCACUCCUACAGUCAAACAUGGAGGUUUAAUGGUUUGGGGCGUUUUGGGAACAGGGAAGGUUGGAGACUUAUCCCCUGUGAAAGGAAUGCUGAGCCUGAGCAUUAUUUAGAGAGCAAAACUUCACCAUCUCCAGGUGAUGAAACCCUUCUCAUGUAAUCCCAUCACGUAAUGAUGCAAUCCAUGCGUUAUCACUGAAAUCCUGCGUUCUGCUGCAAAUCCCACUUGUGCCCUGUGGUACCUUGGAUACCGUUUCUGUCCUUGGUGAGAGGACAAACAUUGGGCUGUUUCCAAAGGAAGCUAUUUUCUUUUAAAAUCACAGUGCCGGCUGUGUUGUAAACCUUCACAUAAUCGUGGAGAUACAAUUGCGCAGAAUCCGCUAUCAUUGCAGCAUGACCAAUGUGACAUAAAAAAAAAAGGAUAUUUCAUCAUGCUGGGCAGUUUCGAAUAAAGUACACAGCAGUUCCUCAAAGUUGAUGAAUGCAUGCAGGCGAUUGCAGGAGAAUGUAUGUUCAGCAAUUAUGUCAGGGACGAACUCUAUAAGAGGUGCAACAUGGGAAAAACACCAUGAGCACUUUCCAUUAAAGAAUGAUACAUCCUUCUUUUUUUGCAUAUAUAAAGUUAUGUUUAUCGUUUUAUCCAUUAAACAAGUGAGUUUACAUUUGCAGGUUUGCUUCUUCCUGAAGAACAGCUUUAUUUUUGACCAUUACAAUAUGCUGAAACUGGAGACAUUUGGGACGUCAUGAUCGUGUCAGACGGGGUUGCCUGGGAUGUCAUGAUCGUGUCAAACUGGUAAUGAUGGCGAAAUUCCCUUUGAGGGUUAACAGCGAACGCUCGUUGUGCACCACUCCACCGCUCUAUUAAAACUAAAUGAGGGUGCACUGUUUCAAAACAAUUGCUGACAUCUCAGGGUUGCCAGAAAAGAAAAUGCUCUUCAAAGGGAAGAAAAUGUGGUCAUGCUUUGCCCGUGUAGUCAUGUGACUUCUCAAGAAAACUUUCGCAAAAUCAUUUGAAGCAGAACCGCUUAAAAUAUUAAAUGGUGUUGUGUAUGUCAAGUACCUAAGAGUGGCCACCCUGGCCUGGGUCUCCGGCUCAUCUUCACCUCAUCCCCUGGUCCUGCCUCCAUCUGCUGAGGCUCAGUGGGAGAGUGACUGUUUUCCAUCCACAGCGGGAGGAAACAGCAGAGGGAGCUUUUGGAAAAGAAACACAAGUCUCACUCUGUGAGCAGCACGGCAGAUGCCAGACGUGUCUACUGAAGGAUACAAAGUCAGAAAAAUAAUGUCAAGGAGAAAUUCAUGCUAGUUGGACUGACACAGUCCCAAAUCUAAGGACCUGGAUUGUCCCAACACCAAGGACGUUGAACAGUUUAUACCUAACUGCGUCUCACAGGAAACCCAUGAAGGACAACAGCUGCUGCGUUCAGAUACGUGG